rnacentral:snRNA from 1 species
GGAUUUGAGGGUGAUCUGGCUGUAACAUGUCACCCCAUUGAUCACCAGGGUUAAUUCGGCUGAUCUGGCUGGCUAGGCAGGUGCCUCCUUCCUCCCUGACCGCUCCCUGUGCGUCCCCCCGGAAGCUGUGCACUCAGUCGAAGAGGAUGACCUUCCUCAAUGGAGGAGAGGACUGUUCUUUGGUCAAGGGUAGAGAAGUAGCUGCACUUUCCUGCUAGAACCUCCAAACAAGCCCUCAAAACAGAACUCCUGACCUCCCCACCAAGCCCGUGCCUCCCUCCUGCUCUGACCACGUGCUCAAGCCAAAGUCCCUGGCGCAUCCCAAAGCCUCUUCUCACCUCAAGGCCUUUG